rnacentral:rRNA from 1 species
UUCGCAAUGCCCGAAAGGGUGACGAAGCGACGCCGCGUGGGUGAGGAAGACCUUCGGGUUGUAAAGCCCUGUCAGGAGUUAAGAAAUGUAGAUUCGCUAAUAUCGGGUCUAUUUGACAAAGGCUCCAAAGGAAGCCACGGCUAACUCUGUGCCAGCAGCCGCGGUAAUACAGAGGUGGCAAGCGUUGUUCGGUAUUAUUGGGCGUAAAGAGCACGUAGGUGGUUUUGUAAGUCAGAUGUGAAAGCCUUCUGUUCAAAGGAAGAACGGCAUCUGAAACUGCGGAUCUUGAGUGUAGGAGGGGAGAGUGGAACUUCUGGUGGAGCGGUGAAAUGCGUAGAUAUCAGAAGGAACGCCGGCGGCGAAAGCGAUUCUCUGGCCUAUUACUGACACUGAGUGUGCGAAAGUUAGGGGAGCAAACGGGAUUAGAUACCCCGGUAGUCCUAACCGUAAACGAUGGGCACUAAGUAGAGGGGUUUU